rnacentral:rRNA from 1 species
GACGAACCGUGCGAACGUUGUUCGGAUUCACUGGGCAUAAAGGGCGCGUAGGCGGACGGUCAAGUCGGGGGUGAAAUCUUUCAGCUUAACUGGAAAAGUGCCUCCGAUACUGAUCGUCUCGAGGGAGGUAGGGGCAUGUGGAACUUCCGGUGGAGCGGUGAAAUGCGUAGAUAUCAGGAGGAACACCGGUGGCGAAGGCGGGUCUCUGGGCAGUAACUGACGCUGAGGAGCGAAAGCGUGGGGAGCGAACAGG